rnacentral:rRNA from 1 species
CCCGCUGAACUUAAGCAUAUAAUUAAGCGGAGGAAUAGAAAAUAACAUUAAUUUCCUGAAUAGUGGCGAACGAAAAGGAAAAAGCGCAAAGUGUAAAUCGAAUUACCCAAUUCGAGUUGUACAUGACUACCAAUAAUACCCGAAUCUAGAUGGAGGUGUUUGGAAAAGCCCCCCAUUGGCGGUGAAAGGCCGCAGCAUCUAAAGGAAGGUUACACAUUGGUAGUAAGCGGAGUCACAUUCUUUAGGCGUAGAAUGUAAAGAGGGUGGUAACUAUCAUCCAACGCUAAAUACUACAAGGAGACCGAUAGCAAACAAGUACCGUGAGGGAAUGUUGAAAAGCACUUCGGAAGGAGAGUUAAAAUACCUGAAAUCGUUGAUACUCUCGAGGCUUGGCUUCCGCAUUCCUUGCGGAGCGAUCUUUUGGCAUUUACGUCGAAGUAGCGUCUGCAGGCUAUGUUUGAAUCUGGCACACGGCCCGUCUUGAAACACGG